GCGACGACGAGGCCGAAAAGCGAGCCGAGGCCGCCGCCCGUCGCGCCGAGAACCGCCGCCUCGCCGAGCUUGAGCAGGCCGAGAUCGACAAGGCGAACAAGAAGCCCGACAAGAAGGCGAAUCGCGUCUCCAUCCCCGUCCCCAAGGUCACCGAGGCGGAGCUGGAGCGGAUCCGCGAGGAGGAGAGGGUUCGGAUCCAGCGGACUGCGGAGGAGGCCAAGAAGCGGCAGAGCAGGGCGGCGGGGGAGGAGGAGUACGAGAAGAUGGUGCUGGUGAGCAAUACGAAUAGGGAAGAUUCGGUGAUCGAGGCACAU
rnacentral:misc_RNA from 1 species